UUUAGCUGUGGAUAUAUGGUAAUUCAAUCUCUCUGGGCUCAGUUUUUUUUCCAACCAGUGUUUGUUGAACAACAUUAUUAUAUGCUUGGUUUAUAUAUAAUAUUAAACUAAAAGUACAGAAUCUUUUAUCUGCCUGUGGGACACUACAGGGUUGUGCAGUGUAUAUAUCAGGGGUUGGCAACCUUCAACCUUCAAAGAGCCACAAAUGUCCUAACCGAAAGCCCCCUGUUCAAUUUUGGAACUGACCGGAAGUUCGGUUCCCCCACCAUAGAGUCUCCUCCUAGUGUGGUGUCCUUUUUCCUCUGCUGACUGGAAGUCCAGUUCCCCCACCAUAGAGUCUCCUUCCUAGCGCAGCAUCCUUUUUCCUUUUACUGACCAGCGACAGGGAGCCACAGCAGAGGGAUGAAAGAGCCACAUGUGGCUUCAGAGCCGUGGGUUGCCGACCCCUGGUGUACAUCAAGGGUUACGCUCCAGAAAUGAAUCUGGCAUGGGGCAUGGAAUAGCAACUUGUACUCUGCAGCUCCAGAGAAGGCAACAUCUCGUGUCUCCUGUUCUGCAUUUUUCUGAAUUGCCUUUAUUUCCCUCCCCAACUCUCAAAGGCUUAAGCACGAAUGUCAAUGUUUUCUUCCCCUUCAAGUUUAUGGCUACCCUGCAAAAGCUUUCAGAAGACGAUGA